AUCACUUCUGGGCCUUUUGGCUAAGAUCAAGUGUAGUAUCUGUGGACUGGAGGCUGGAGAAGCCUGUAUGGCAGGGGAGCAAGAGCUGCUUCUCUCUCCCCCAACUCCUC
rnacentral:snRNA from 1 species